rnacentral:rRNA from 1 species
AUGCUUAGAAGAAGGUACCAAGGUGGUUCCUCGGUGAAGAAAGGGCCCAGGAUUGCUAUACGUGAGCAAGAUGUUGAAUUGCCGAGGGACGCGGAUGUACGAGCUUGUGAGUGGCCAUCCGAUGAUUUUAUGGUCAAAGCAGGCUUCAAGGAGGAAUUUGACGCAUAUGUGCGUAAUGCUGAGUUGGAGGACUUCUUACAAGAUAAGUGUCCUCCGUACUAUCAAUUGACCGAUUCCUUUGUUCAGAGGUUUAAAUAUAACUGCACGCGUAAUUCUCCUAGUGUCAUAUUUGAUAUUUAUGAUACAUCUUAUACCAUGGACUGA